rnacentral:rRNA from 1 species
ACGCACGCUGGCGGCGUGCUUAACCCCUUCAAGUCGCACGGAAAGGCCUCUUUCGGGGGGUACUCGAGUGGCGAACGGGUGAGUAACACGUGAGUAACCUGCCCUUGACUUUGGGAUAACUUCAGGAAACUGGGGCUAAUACCGGAUAGGAGCUCCUGCUGCAUGGUGGGGGUUGGAAAGUUUCGGCGGUUGGGGAUGGACUCGCGGCUUAUCAGCUUGUUGGUGGGGUAGUGGCUUACCAAGGCUUUGACGGGUAGCCGGCCUGAGAGGGUGACCGGCCACAUUGGGACUGAGAUACGGCCCAGACUCCUACGGGAGGCAGCAGUGGGGAAUAUUGCACAAUGGGUGGAAGCCUGAUGCAGCAACGCCGUGUGCGGGAUGACGGCCUUCGGGUUGUAAACCGCUUUCGCUCAUGACGAAGCUUUGUGUGACGGUAGUGGGUAAAGAAGCACCGGCUAACUACGU